rnacentral:rRNA from 1 species
GAUGAACGCUGGCGGCGUGCCUAAUACAUGCAAGUCGAGCGAACAGACGAGGAGCUUGCUCCUCUGACGUUAGCGGCGGACGAGUGAGUAACACGUGGAUAACCUACCUAUAAGACUGGGAUAACUUCGGGAAACCGGAGCUAAUACCGGAUAAUAUAUUGAACCGCAUGGUUCAAUAGUGAAAGACGGUUUUGCUGUCACUUAUAGAUGGAUCCGCGCCGCAUUAGCUAGUUGGUAAGGUAACGGCUUACCAAGGCAACGAUGCGUAGCCGACCUGAGAGGGUGAUCGGCCACACUGGAACUGAGACACGGUCCAGACUCCUACGGGAGGCAGCAGUAGGGAAUCUUCCGCAAUGGGCGAGAGCCUGACGGAGCAACGCCGCGUGAGUGAUGAAGGUCUUCGGAUCGUAAAACUCUGUUAUUAGGGAAGAACAAAUGUGUAAGUAACUAUGCACGUCUUGACGGUACCUAAUCAGAAAGCCACGGCUAACUACGUG